AGAGUUUGAUCCUGGCUCAGGAUGAACGCUAGCGGUGCGCCUAACACAUGCAAGUCGAAUGUGCUUUUGUACAUGGCAAACGGGUGAGUAACACGUUGGUACCUACCCCAAACUCGGGGAUAACCCACCGAAAGGUGGAAUAAUACCGGAUAGUCUCCAUCUCUGAUGGAGUAAAGAUUUAUCGGUUUGGGAGGGACCUGCGGUCUAUCAGCUUGUUGGUAGGGUAACGGCCUACCAAGGCUAUGACGGAUAGCUGGUGUGAGAGCAUGACCAGCCACAAUGGGACUGAGACACGGCCCAUACUCCUACGGGAGGCAGCAGUGAGGAAUCUUCCGCAAUGGGCGAAGGCCUGACGGAGCGACACCGCGUGGGGGAUGAAGGCCUUACGGUCGUAAACUCCUUUUCUGGGGGAACAAGUUUCUGAGCGUACCCCAGGAAUAAGCACCUGCUAACUACGUGCCAGCAGCCGCGGUAAUACGUAGGGUGCAAGUGUUAUCCGAAAUUACUGGGCGUAAAGCGUCUGUAGGUGGUGAUAUAAGUCAGAUGUUAAAAUCCAGUGCCCAACAUUGGAACUGUAUCUGAAACUAUAUCGCUAGAGAUUGGUAGAGGUGAGUGGAAUUCCGUGUGUAGGGGUAAUAUCCGUAGAUACACGGAGGAACACCAAACGCGAAAGCAUCUCACUGGACCAAUUCUGACACUGAGAGACGAAAGCGUGGGGAGCGAAAAGGAUUAGAUACCCUUGUAGUCCACGCCCUAAACGAUGGAUACUUGGUUUUGGAGGAUUCGACCCCUUCAGAGCCGUAGCUAACGUGUUAAGUAUCCCGCCUGGGAAGUACGGUCGCAAGAUUAAAACUCAAAGGAAUAGACGGGGACCCACACAAGCGGUGGAGCAUGUGGUUUAAUUCGACAAUAAGCGAGGAACCUUACCUGGACUUGACAUCCCGAGAAUCUUCUAGAAAUAGGAGAGUGCCGCAAGGAGCUCGGUGACAGGUGCUGCAUGGUCGUCGUCAGCUCGUGCCUUGAGGUGUUCGGUUAAGUCCGUAAACGAGCGCAACCCUUGUCUCAUGUUGUAUUUUUCAUGAGAAACUGCCGUCUUAAAGUCGGAGGAAGGCAAGGAUGACGUCAGAUCAGCAUGGCUCUUACGUCCAGGGCUACACACGUGCUACAAUGGCCGGUACAAUGAGCAGCAAACCCGUAAGGGGAAGCCAAUCUCAUCAAAGCCGGUCUCAGUUCGGAUUGAGGGCUGCAACUCGCCCUCAUGAAGUUGGAAUCGCUAGUAACCGCGUAUCAGCAAUGGCGCGGUGAAUAUGUUCCUGGUCUUGUACUCACCGCCCGUCACGUCACGGAAGCUGGAGGCAUCCGAAGUCACAUUAUCCUUUGCAUUUAUGUACUGGAGUGUGCCUAAGAUGAAAUCAGUGACUGGGACGAAGUCGUAACAAGGU
rnacentral:rRNA from 1 species